GUGCUCCAACUCUUGCUCACAUUGGACACUCUGCUCAGUGUCUCCACACCCAGGUACAAAGAGGGGAAGGUCAUGGAAGAACUUCCCAUGGGGGUUCUAUGGUAAAGGAUCACAUCAGCAUGGAGACUGGAGGUGUACCAGGGAAUCUGCUCAACAGUGUGGGCUGACGCUCAGGAAACCUCAGGCAGUGUAAUAGUGACAGGGAAGGCAUAUCAGCAGCAAGAAGCAGCCCUGGGAUGAAGCCUCUGCAUUCUUAGAGCUCAGCCAUCGUCGGCCAUACAAAAUAGUGGGCCAUCUUCAGAAAACUCACUUGCAUGCCUUUCCUCUGUGGCUUCUGACAGAAGGAGAAAGAGGAUGAAUUUGAGCAGUGCUACAAAGCUGCACAGCCCAGGACACAGCAGUCAAAGAAGCAUGGCAUAAAUCACCGAUUGGCGAUCCCAGACAUUUCUAAAAGGGGCUGUUGCGUGCAACCGACUUCACGAGAGUUGCUCCUUCGAAAUGCUGAAAAGCCAUAAAUCAACGAGCCUAAUGGAUUUUUGUCCUGUCUAUUCAAUAUCUUCCAGGGCAUUGCAUUUAGAAUGUAAUGCAUUAAGGGGGUGGGGUGCGGGGGAAAUAAAGCUCUCUAGCAAACCA